GAGUUUGAUCCUGGCUCAGGAUGAACGCUAGCGACAGGCCUAACACAUGCAAGUCGAGGGGCAGCGGGGAGCGAAGCUUGCUUUGCUCCGCCGGCGACCGGCGCACGGGUGAGUAACGCGUAUGCAACCUGCCCGUUUCAGCGGGAUAACCCGGAGAAAUCCGGCCUAAUACCGCAUGUGGCCGAGGGAAGGCAUCUUCUUUCGGCCAAAGGAGGCGACUCCGGAGACGGAUGGGCAUGCGUGACAUUAGCUAGUUGGCGGGGUAACGGCCCACCAAGGCGACGAUGUCUAGGGGUUCUGAGAGGAAGGUCCCCCACACUGGUACUGAGACACGGACCAGACUCCUACGGGAGGCAGCAGUGAGGAAUAUUGGUCAAUGGGCGAGAGCCUGAACCAGCCAAGUCGCGUGAAGGAUGACGGCCCUACGGGUUGUAAACUUCUUUUGUCAGGGAGCAAUUGAGUCCACGUGUGGGCUUAGCGAGAGUACCUGAAGAAAAAGCAUCGGCUAACUCCGUGCCAGCAGCCGCGGUAAUACGGAGGAUGCGAGCGUUAUCCGGAUUUAUUGGGUUUAAAGGGUGCGUAGGCGGAAUAUCAAGUCAGCGGUAAAAAUUCGGGGCUCAACCCCGUCGUGCCGUUGAAACUGAUGUUCUUGAGUGGGCGAGAAGUAUGCGGAAUGCGUGGUGUAGCGGUGAAAUGCAUAGAUAUCACGCAGAACUCCGAUUGCGAAGGCAGCAUACCGGCGCCCAACCGACGCUGAAGCACGAAAGCGUGGGUAUCGAACAGGAUUAGAUACCCUGGUAGUCCACGCAGUAAACGAUGAAUGCUAAUUGUCCGGAGGGAUUGACCUCUGGGUGAUACAGCGAAAGCGUUAAGCAUUCCACCUGGGGAGUACGCCGGCAACGGUGAAACUCAAAGGAAUUGACGG
rnacentral:rRNA from 1 species